UACAGAGGGUGCGAGCGUUGUUCGGAAUUAUUGGGCGUAAAGCGCGUGUAGGCGGUGAUGCAUGUCGGGUGUGAAAGCCCUCAGCUCAACUGAGGAAGUGCGCCCGAAACUGCAUCGCUGGAGUGCCGGAGAGGAAGGCGGAAUUCCCGGUGUAGAGGUGAAAUUCGUAGAUAUCGGGAGGAACACCAGUGGCGAAGGCGGCCUUCUGGACGGACACUGACGGCUGA
rnacentral:rRNA from 1 species